AACACUGUUAACCUGCGGUACCUGCGGAAGGAUCAUUACAAGAUUCUAACGGUUCUGGCCCGUAAAAAGGCUAUGAACUAUUCAACCCUUUGUGAACCAAAACCUUUUUUCGCUUCGGUAGCAAGCCAGUUUCUUGGUGAAAACUAAAUUUCUGUGCUGUCAGCCUACCGGCAGCACUAUUAAACUUGCACUUAAAUAUUGUCUGAUUAUUAUAUUUUUGAAUGAAAUCAAAACUUUCAG
rnacentral:misc_RNA from 1 species